UACUCAAACGCUCUCAACGAAUACCCUUUUUCUCCCUCUCUCGCAUGAUAAUUGAUGCGGAGUUCCAGACCCAGAGAAGGUGAAAAUCUAGACUUCCCAAACUUGGCCUCCCUUCUCGACUGUGGAGUAUCAACCGGCGGGCAAGAGAAAAGGAAUUGACAAAGUAGAAAGCUUUAGAGAAAGCUAGAAAGCUUCAGGUAAAAAAAUUGCAUGUUGCAAAGGAAAAACCACCCCAGCGCACACUCGGAAAUAGCUAGAGGUAUUGGUAAACCUCACUUUGUAUAUACAUGCUUUACAAUUCGUGGAAAUCCACAUGACUCCUGAAAAUGAUAGUAGCAAAUAUGAGGUAAAGGGACUUAAUAUUUUAUUAACAUGCUUCUUGCGAUUUUGGAGUUAUGCCAGGAUGGGUAGUUUACCCUUGGGUGUGGGUUGAUGAUUGUACACACAUUACAUUUAUGUUACGAUAAUUAUAAAUAACAUCUUGUUUCGUGGAUGAAUUUAUUUCUACUGUUCAUUUAGACAUUGAAGCUGAUGCAACUCUAAAAUUAACUUCUUGAUAGACUAGAAGUAGAUAUCUGUUUUUUAUUCUCCACACUUCUGUCUAACUUCUUCUUGAGUGAUAGUUUAGUUAAUUUCUUUUUACUUUCUUGCAAGUUUGAUGGGAAUUUUUAGCUAUCU
rnacentral:sRNA from 1 species